rnacentral:rRNA from 1 species
AAGGGCACCACAAGAACGCGUGGAGCAUGUGGCUUAAUUUGACCCAACGCGGGAAAUCUUACCGGGUCCGGACACACUGAGGAUUGACAGGCUUUAUUAUUUAAAUAAAUGACGAAGCUCGCUUUUGAUUUUAUUUUUAUAUGUAAAUAUGCUAGUCCUUUCAUGAUUAUGUGAUAGGUGGUGCAUGGCCGUUCUUAGUUCGUGGAGUGAUCUGUCUGCUUAAUUGCGUUUCACUAAGAGCUUAUAUAUUACGUAUGUCUUGCUAGCAUAUUUUGACCCCCAAUCUUCUGAUUUAGCACUUUGUGUUAUUUUAGAGGAUUGUGCGUGUUGUCAUUUAUGCAUCCAGCAGCAUACUAUUAAGCUCUGAAAGCAACGAACGUGACCG